rnacentral:rRNA from 1 species
GAUGAACGCUGGCGGCGUGCCUAAUACAUGCAAGUCGAGCGACCGGACGGGAAGCUUUCUUCUCUGAUGUUAGCGGCUGACGGGUGAGUAACACGUGGAUAACCUACCUAUAAUACUGGGAUAACUUCGGGAAACCGUAGCUAAUACCGGAUAAUAUUUUGAACCGCAUGGUUCAAAAGUGAAAGACGGUCUUGCUGUCACUUAUAGAUGUAUCCGCGUUGCAUUAGCUAGUUGGUAAGGUAACGGCUUACCAAGGCAACGAUGCAUAGCCGACCUGAGAGGGUGAUCGGCCACACUGGAACUGAGACACGGUCCAGACUCCUACGGGAGGCAGCAGUAGGGAAUCUUCCGCAAUGGGCGAAAGCCUGACGGAGCAACGCCGCGUGAGUGAUGAAGGUCUUCGGAUCGUAAAACUCUGUUAUUAGGGAAGAAAAUAUGUGUAAGUAACUGUGCACAUCUUGACGGUACCUAAUCAGAAAGCCACGGCUAACUACGUG